rnacentral:rRNA from 1 species
GGCGAAGGAUGCAAGCGUUAUCCGGAUUCAUUGGGCUUAAAGGGAGCGUAGGCGGACUUAUAAGUCAGUGGUGAAAUCUCCGGGCUUAACCCGGAAACUGCCAUUGAUACUGUAGGUCUAGAGUACAUUUGCUGUGGGCGGAAUAUGACAUGUAGUGGUGAAAUACUUAGAUAUGUCAUAGAACACCGAUUGCGAAGGCAGCUCACAAAAAUGUAACUGACGCUGAGGCUCGAAAGUGCGGGGAUCAAACAGG